rnacentral:lncRNA from 1 species
AAGGCUUUUCAGUUCACAGCUUAGUCAUAUUCCAAAACCCUAAACUCAAAUUCGUAUCUUCCUCUCUUCUAAAGUGCGUGCCUUCCUCAUUCUCACUCUCCGUCUCUCUCUUCGAGCACAUUCAGAGAGAAGAAAACCUCAAAUUUCAAUCUCCAUCAUCAUCGAUAUCAUGGCCCAUUUCGUGGCCCCAAUCGCAUGUCCAUUAUCACUCUCAAUUAAGUAUUCCCCCUACCUUCUAAAGAUUUUUGCAGAUUUCAUGUUCAAUUUUUGUUUUUACUUCCAUGGAUAUUUUGAAGGGGGAAUAAUUUACUGGAAAACCCGAUGAUAUAUUCAUAAAUUUGCUGGCUAAUUUAGCUUGUGGAGGAUAUCCUGCUACUUUCUUCUACUUCUACAUGAAACCUAUUGAACAGGAAAAAAUCUUAAUUAUCUUCCUGCGGAUGGGUGCUAGAAAUGUGAGAAGAUCUUAAAGUGUUCUAUUUCUUACGUGUCAAAACUUGCAUCUAUAGGUAAAAAUCUUCUCUAACCUUCUUCUUUUUAUUGACCAAACAAUGGUAUGCAUAUGCUGUGGCCUCUACUUUUCAUAGAGUGCGGCAUAUGCUCUGCAAGGACUUUAUGUUGUGGGUUCUAUAUCCGAACUGUUAUGGAUAAUGCAUAAUCUCGUUUUCAUUGUUCAAUGAAAGCGUAUGUAAAGCCAAUGUUUAAUAAUUUGCCAUGUCAAAUUUUAGCCCUCAUCGGACAUUGAAACUAGAAAGAAGUUUAUCCUUAUGGGAGUGACUACAACAUGAAGGUAAACUUGUGUUUCUAUUUGCGUACAGCAUUAUAAUUGAGAAGUUCAUAUUAUGCUAUUAUUGUGAACACCGCCUUUCCAUUUUCAUUUUGUAAAUUAUUGAGAACAGCUUACCUCCACUUUACCCUAUAACCUAUACUAGUUUUGUAGAGAACUUAUGAAGCUGUUGAUGUUCAGGAUGAACUAAAAUAUGGAAAAUUUGGAGAUUGGCGAUUCAAUAAGAGAUCAAGCAAAUAUUCCCUCCCCUCUAACAAUUAUGAACAUUUAUCUAUUCAUAAUAGGAGGCUUGGCAAGAAGUACAGUGGCAUGAGGCUUAAUCAAAGAAUGAAAAGUCUCUACUUUUUUAAUAGAAAAUUCAUUUAGAUAUAUAUUAUUCAAUAUAUAUGUCAUUUUUCCUUCUUUAAAAGAUAUAAUGUACUUGUGAUAAUUUUCCCACUAAAGAAGUUAGUGUUGCAUAUUGUUAUGUUAGAAAUACUGAUACUUUUCUAUUCUUUCUUACUUUGAGUUUGUCGUGAACUGUACACCCUUAUAAUCCACUAAAGACUAUUGAUUAGACCUGGAGUCUUAGGUAAAUAGUGUAUUUCACCAUCAUAUAUGUAUUAUCAUAUUUUACAUCGUACUGCAUUAGAGUUUUUUUUUCAACAAUUGCAAGUUAUGAUAUCAUUUAAGGUUGAAUUAUUUGGAUCUUUGUCCAUUUAUUUAAAGGGCACUAAUAUCCAGUCAAAUUAAUGCAUUGUCAUGUACAUUGAUGUCAAAUUUUGUGAUCUACAACAUUUAUUGCUUAUAGGUUCUUAAGUUUUAUGCUCCAACUUUAUUUGGUUGUAGGUAUCCACCUUUCUUGGAUUUACAUCCAUCUGAAAUGAUAUCUGUUCUUGAUUUUUAUGCUGUCCA